GACGAACCGUGCGAACGUUGUUCGGAAUCACUGGGCUUAAAGGGCGCGUAGGCGGACUAUCAAGUCAGGGGUGAAAUCCUGCGGCUCAACCGUAGAAGUGCCUUUGAUACUGGUAGUCUCGAGGGAGAUAGGGGCGUGCGGAACUUCCGGUGGAGCGGUGAAAUGCGUAGAUAUCGGAAGGAACACCGGUGGCGAAAGCGGCGCGCUGGAUCUCUACUGACGCUGAGGCGCGAAAGCCAGGGGAGCGAACGGG
rnacentral:rRNA from 1 species